GACGAACGCUGGCGGCGUGCUUAACACAUGCAAGUCGAACGAAGAGCGAUGGAAGCUUGCUUCUAUCAAUCUUAGUGGCGAACGGGUGAGUAACGCGUAAUCAACCUGCCCUUCAGAGGGGGACAACAGUUGGAAACGACUGCUAAUACCGCAUACGAUCUAAUCUCGGCAUCGAGGAUAGAUGAAAGGUGGCCUCUACAUGUAAGCUAUCACUGAAGGAGGGGAUUGCGUCUGAUUAGCUAGUUGGAGGGGUAACGGCCCACCAAGGCGAUGAUCAGUAGCCGGUCUGAGAGGAUGAACGGCCACAUUGGGACUGAGACACGGCCCAGACUCCUACGGGAGGCAGCAGUGGGGAAUCUUCCGCAAUGGACGAAAGUCUGACGGAGCAACGCCGCGUGAGCGAGGACGGCCUUCGGGUUGUAAAGCUCUGUUAAUCGGGACGAAAGGCCUUCUUGCGAAUAGGGAGAAGGAUUGACGGUACCGGAAGAGAAAGCCACGGCUAACUACGUG
rnacentral:rRNA from 1 species